GCAAGCCAGGAAGAGGAAGAAAGAGAGUAUCUCAGAAUUGUGGGAAUGAGACCAUGAAGGAAAGCCUAAGCUCUAUUGUCCCCUCUAGUAUUGGAGGUGGAAACUUAGUUUCAUGUUUUCCUGAUGCCUCUCAUUCCUAUUGUUCUUAGGUGCUCCUUCCUCUUCCUUUUGGCUUGC
rnacentral:pre_miRNA from 1 species